CAGUAGCCGCGGUAAUACGAAGGGUGCAAGCGUUAAUCGGAAUUACUGGGCGUAAAGCGUGCGUAGGCGGUUUGUUAAGUCUGUUGUGAAAUCCCCGGGCUCAACCUGGGAAUGGCAAUGGAUACUGGCAAGCUAGAGUGUGUCAGAGGAUGGUGGAAUUCCCGGUGUAGCAGUGAAAUGCGUGGAGAUCAAGAGGAACACUCGUGGCGAAAGCGAGCUACUGGACGAUAUCUGACGCUGAGGCUCGAAGGCCAGGGUAGCGAAAGGGACUAGAUACCCCCGUAGUCCCUGUCUCUUAUAC
rnacentral:rRNA from 1 species